CAGGCCCAAAGAGAGGAUGUGCUUAACCCCAGGCCACAGAGCGAGUUAACUAGUGAUGGACCCACAUUUAGCUCAUCCUUAUUUGCUCCCUGGCGCAUUCAUGUGGAUGAGUCUCAGGAUUUCUAAACCCAGCAGAGCCCAGACGGACACAUCAUCUUCUCCUCUUGGAGUUCAUGUCUUGAGUCAGGUUAAGUCCACACAGCCAGAUGCUCCCAACAGACCUGCAGCUGCCUGCAGAUGGCCAUCGUACCCCGGCCUCCCCAUUUGCCAGCUGGUCUCUCAGUUGCCUCAGCCCUUCCAUCUCCACUGAACAGGGUUCACAGCCCUUGCCCGCCAGGCACCCUUAUCUGAAGAGCUCCAAGCUGGGGUGGGUUUGGUCUUCUCCUGACCUCCGUCCGCUUCCUGGGGCCUGGAACAUCCUGAAGCUAGAACAAAACAGCUAAAGGCAGAAAAGGCGGCAAAUACUCGUUCAGUCAGAAGACAGGAAGACUAGCAGGAGGCUGACUCUGCGAGUAAGACCCACUGGCUUUAGAUUGGUGUUUCUUCCUGAGGCUGGGUCACACCAGGAAACCUUUGAUCCCUCCCUUCCCCUCCUCCCCAGAACCUGGAGCUUCUGUCUCCCACAGCCAGCAGUGGAACCAGUGGUGGCUGAGUAACUGAGGAACUGCAGGAGAGCCUCCAAGAAGAAGUGGAGAGAGGAGAAAAAGAGAGAGGACAGUUGAACAUUCUUCAGGAUCCAUAUGAGUGUGAGCACAUAUCCUCAUGUGCUGGCAUUUGACUGACUGACAGGUUAUGGAGGCCCAAUCUCUCUUUGGCGAUAAAGUGACAGAGGUCAGACCCGGAUAUAAUCUGCCGGGUUGAUUCCUAUAGGAGCAAGAGGAGACAAUCCCCUCCCUCCCUUUUUAGAACCCCAUACUUCUGUGAAUGCAA